rnacentral:rRNA from 1 species
AUUGAACGCUGGCGGCAGGCCUAACACAUGCAAGUCGAGCGAGCGGCGGACGGGUGAGUAAUGUAUGGGGACUGCCCGAUAGAGGGGGAUAACUACUGGAAACGGUAUCUAAUACCGCAUACUAUCGGAUAACCCAUAUGGGAUUAGCUAGUAGGUGGGGGAAUUGCUCACCUAGGCGACUAUCCCUAGCUGGUCUGAGCGGAUGAUCCGCCAAACGGGAACUGAUACACGGUCAAGACUCAUACGGAGGCAGCAGUGGGGAAUAUUGGACAGGGGGCGCAAGCCUGAUGAAGCCAUGCCGCGGGUGGGAAGAAGGCCUUAGGGUUGUAAAGUACUUUCAGCGGGGAGGCGUUACCGGAAGAAGAAGCACCGGAUAACUCCGUGCCAGCAGCCGCGGUAAUAC